rnacentral:tRNA from 1 species
GACCGGUGGCGCAGGUGGCGCAGGUGGCGCUGGCGGCAGCGCGGUCAGUGGUUCGGCGGGCGACAACGGUUCCGGUGGCGCUGGCGGUCAC